ACGAACGCUGGCGGCGUGCUUAACACAUGCAAGUCGAACGGAAAGGCCCUGCUUUUGUGGGGUGCUCGAGUGGCGAACGGGUGAGUAACACGUGAGUAACCUGCCCUUGACUUUGGGAUAACUUCAGGAAACUGAGGCUAAUACCGGAUAGGAGCUCCUGCUGCAUGGUGGGGGUUGGAAAGUUUCGGCGGUUGGGGAUGGACUCGCGGCUUAUCAGCUUGUUGGUGGGGUAGUGGCUUACCAAGGCUUUGACGGGUAGCCGGCCUGAGAGGGUGACCGGCCACAUUGGGACUGAGAUACGGCCCAGACUCCUACGGGAGGCAGCAGUGGGGAAUAUUGCACAAUGGGCGGAAGCCUGAUGCAGCAACGCCGCGUGCGGGAUGACGGCCUUCGGGUUGUAAACCGCUUUCGCCUGUGACGAAGCGUGAGUGACGGUAAUGGGUAAAGAAGCACCGGCUAACUACGU
rnacentral:rRNA from 1 species